CCUCUUAUGAAGUUAGCGGCGGACGGGUGAGUAACACGUGGGUAACCUGCCCAUAAGACUGGGAUAACUCCGGGAAACCGGGGCUAAUACCGGAUAACAUUUUGAACCGCAUGGUUCGAAAUUGAAAGGCGGCUUCGGCUGUCACUUAUGGAUGGACCCGCGUCGCAUUAGCUAGUUGGUGAGGUAACGGCUCACCAAGGCAACGAUGCGUAGCCGACCUGAGAGGGUGAUCGGCCACACUGGGACUGAGACACGGCCCAGACUCCUACGGGAGGCAGCAGUAGGGAAUCUUCCGCAAUGGACGAAAGUCUGACGGAGCAACGCCGCGUGAGUGAUGAAGGCUUUCGGGUCGUAAAACUCUGUUGUUAGGGAAGAACAAGUGCUAGUUGAAUAAGCUGGCACCUUGACGGUACCUAACCAGAAAGCCACGGCUAACUACGUGCCAGCAGCCGCGGUAAUACGUAGGUGGCAAGCGUUAUCCGGAAUUAUUGGGCGUAAAGCGCGCGCAGGUGGUUUCUUAAGUCUGAUGUGAAAGCCCACGGCUCAACCGUGGAGGGUCAUUGGAAACUGGGAGACUUGAGUGCAGAAGAGGAAAGUGGAAUUCCAUGUGUAGCGGUGAAAUGCGUAGAGAUAUGGAGGAACACCAGUGCGAAGGCGACUUUCUGGUCUGUAACUGACACUGAGGCGCGAAAGCGUGGGGAGCAAACAGGAUU
rnacentral:rRNA from 1 species